CGGAUGUAGCCAAGUGGAUCAAGGCAGUGGAUUGUGAAUCAACCAUGCGCG
rnacentral:tRNA from 2 species